rnacentral:misc_RNA from 1 species
AAGUCGUAACAAGGUUUCCGUAGGUGAACCUGCGGAAGGAUCAUUACCACACCUAAAAACUUUCCACGUGAACCGUUUAAAUUUGUUUCGUGCCCUGCGGAAACGUAAGGCUGAACGAAGGUCGAGUGUAAAAGCUCUUCCGAUGUAUUUUUCAAACCCUUUUACUUAAUACUGAUCUAUACUCCGAAGAUGAAAGUCUCUGGUUUUAAUCAUUAACAACUUUCAGCAGUGGAUGUCUAGGCUC